AACGGGGGGAGCGAGUGUUAUCCACAAUGACUGGGCGUAAAGGGUACGUAGGCAGAUAUUUAAGUCUAAAAUUAAAGGCUAAAAAUUAUUUUAGCAGUUUUUUUAUACUAAAAAUCUAGGGUGCGAUAGAGGUUAGCGGUACUCUUGGUGUAAGGGUAAAAUCUAAUGAUAUCAAAGGGGACCAUCAAUUAGCGAAGGCGGCUAACCAGUUCGUAACUGACGCUGAGGUACUAAAGCGUAGGGAGCAAACAGG
rnacentral:rRNA from 1 species